AUUUAUAUAGUUUAACGUAAAACAUUACAUUUUCAAUGUAAAAUUAAUUUUUUAUUUAUAAAUA
rnacentral:tRNA from 1 species